AGAGGACAAAGGCGGCGCGCAGCUUGUGUCGUCCGCCAUUUUGUGCGAGGCAAGGUGGCAUCCACGUUCCCCGAGCGACUUCUUCGCUUCUGCCUCGACCGCCCGUUGACCAUAGGCAUGUCUCGGGAUCGGUUCCGGAGUCGCGGCGGCGGCGGCGGCGGCUUUCACCGGCGCGGAGGAGGCGGCGGCCGCGGCGGCCUCCACGACUUCCGCUCCCCGCCGCCUGGCAUGGGCCUCAACCAGAACCGCGGCCCCAUGGGCCCGGGCCCCGGCGGCCCGAAGCCGCCUAUCCCUCCACCGCCUCCGCACCAGCAGCAGCAGCAGCAGCCCCCGCCGCAGCAGCCCCCGCCGCAGCAGCCGCCGCCGCACCAGCAGCCGCCGCCGCACCAGCCGCACCAGCCGCAGCCCCCGCCGCCGCCGCAGGACUCGUCCAAGCCCGUCGUCGUCCCGCCAGGCCCCGGCUCGACGCCCGGCGUGAGCAGCGCGCCGCCCCCGGCCGCUUCGGCCCCGCCUGCCAACCCCCCGACCACCGGCGCCCCGCCGGGCCCCGGCCCGACCCCGACGCCGCCGCCCGCCGUCACCUCCACCGCCCCCGGACCGCCGCCGCCCUCGACGCCCAGCAGCGGCGUGUCCACCACCCCGCCGCAGACCGGCGGCCCGCCUCCCCCGCCCGCCGGCGGUGCCGGCCCGGGGCCUAAGCAGGGCCCGGGCCCCGGCGGCCCCAAAGGAGGCAAGAUGCCGGGUGGGCCUAAGCCCGGCGGUGGCCCCGGCAUGGGCGCUCCCGGUGGGCACCCGAAGCCCCCGCACCGAGGUGGCGGGGAGCCCCGCGGAGGCCGCCAGCACCACCCGCCCUACCAUCAGCAGCAUCACCAGGGCCCCCCUCCCGGCGGGCCGGCACCCCGCACGGAGGAAAAGAUCUCGGACUCGGAGGGAUUUAAAGCUAAUUUGUCUCUGUUGCGGAGGCCUGGAGAAAAAACUUAUACACAGCGCUGUCGGUUGUUUGUGGGAAACCUACCUGCUGAUAUCACAGAGGAUGAAUUCAAAAGACUGUUUGCUAAAUACGGAGAACCCGGAGAAGUUUUUAUCAACAAAGGCAAAGGGUUCGGGUUCAUUAAACUUGAAUCUAGAGCCUUGGCUGAAAUCGCCAAAGCUGAACUUGAUGAUACUCCCAUGAGAGGUAGACAGCUUCGGGUUCGCUUUGCCACACAUGCUGCAGCCCUUUCUGUUCGGAAUCUUUCACCAUAUGUUUCCAAUGAACUGUUGGAAGAGGCCUUUAGCCAGUUUGGUCCUAUUGAAAGGGCUGUUGUAAUUGUGGAUGAUCGAGGAAGAUCUACAGGGAAAGGCAUUGUCGAAUUUGCUUCUAAGCCAGCAGCAAGAAAAGCAUUUGAAAGAUGCAGUGAAGGUGUUUUUCUGCUGACAACGACUCCUCGCCCAGUCAUUGUGGAACCACUCGAACAGUUAGAUGAUGAGGAUGGUCUUCCUGAAAAACUGGCCCAGAAGAAUCCAAUGUAUCAAAAAGAGAGAGAAACACCACCUCGUUUUGCUCAGCAUGGCACAUUUGAGUAUGAAUAUUCUCAACGAUGGAAGUCCUUGGAUGAAAUGGAAAAACAGCAAAGGGAACAAGUUGAAAAAAACAUGAAGGAUGCAAAAGACAAAUUGGAAAGUGAAAUGGAAGAUGCCUACCAUGAGCAUCAGGCAAAUCUUUUGCGCCAAGAUCUGAUGAGACGACAGGAAGAAUUAAGGCGCAUGGAGGAACUUCACAGUCAAGAAAUGCAGAAACGUAAAGAAAUGCAAUUGAGGCAAGAGGAGGAACGACGUAGAAGAGAGGAAGAGAUGAUGAUUCGCCAACGUGAGAUGGAAGAACAAAUGAGACGCCAACGAGAAGAAAGUUACAGCAGAAUGGGCUACAUGGAUCCAAGAGAAAGAGACAUGAGAAUGGGUGGUGGUGGAACAAUGAACAUGGGAGAUCCUUAUGGUUCAGGAGGCCAGAAAUUUCCACCUCUAGGUGGUGGUGGUGGCAUAGGUUAUGAAGCUAAUCCUGGAGUUCCACCAGCAACCAUGAGUGGUUCCAUGAUGGGAAGUGACAUGCGUACUGAGCGCUUUGGGCAGGGAGGUGCGGGUCCUGUGGGUGGACAAGGUCCUAGAGGAAUGGGGCCUGGAACUCCAGCAGGAUAUGGUAGAGGGAGAGAAGAGUAUGAAGGGCCAAAUAAAAAACCCCGAUUUUAGAUAUUUAGGCUUUCAUUCCAGUUUGGUUUUUGUCUUUUCUUGUUUAGACACCACUUUUAAAUUCUUGCAUUUUAGUAAGAAAGCUACCUUUUUAUGGAUGUUAGCAGUUUAUUGACCUGAUAUUUGUAAAUGGUCUGUUUGGGCAGGUAAAAUUAUGUAACGCAGUGUUUGAAACAGGAGAAAAUUUUCUUUUUAUUUACUUUUUUUUUUAACUGUAUAAUGUUUCUCAAGUUAAUGGCAGUGUACCUUGUGCCACCGAAUUUCCAAAGUGUACCAGUUUUUUUUUUUUUUUUUUUUUACUGUGCUUCAAAUAAAUAGAAAAAUAGUUAUAAUACUGAUCUUCAACUUUGCUAUUCAUGCUUCUAUGCACAUUAGGCUAGGUAUUUCACUUGGAAAGCAUGACCGUGUUUAGGCCUUUGAGUGGCAUAUGCCAUUUCUGGGAAAUGUAUCUGGAGGCUGAGUAUUGCUUUCUAUAAAUGAUGGCCACCCCUUGUUUUAAAAAAUGCAUAUUGAAGUAGUUAGGAUUUGUUUGGCAUUAUAGGAAGCAGGCUGGUGCUCAGCAUUUUUUUAAAUGGUUAUCUUAGAGAAGUUGAACUGUAAGUCUUAAUUCAGGAACAUGUAUUAAGAUUAUGGAAUGGGUAUAAACUACUGGUAGUGAGAGAAAAAAGGGGGUUUGGUUAAAUGGAUCCCUUAUGGCCCUAUCUAUGAUCCUUUCCUAGAAAGCGUUUAAAAAUGGAAAGAUCAUCUUGUUGCAUUUUUCCUGUUGUUUUGUUUUAAACAAAUCCCAAGCCCUACAAAUGGCUUGUACUGAACUUUUGCAUUUGAAUUAAAGAUUGUUAAACAUGAAGCCUUUUCAUGUAUUCAAGUGAUUUAAAAGAUGGGAUUUAGUCUGAAAUUUAAAGUUGGAAAGAGUUAAGGGUUAACUAUAACAUAGGUUAGGUUUAGCCUUAUGUACUCUAACAUACACCUCCUUGUGCUACUUCUAUUUAGCAAAAUCUGUAGUCUGAAAAAUCUAUUGGUUCUUUUCAAGAGCUCUAGUGGUGACUUACCAAGCAGGACUGCCAUGAAACCAUUGUCACUUUGGAGUUGACCAUUUUAAUGUAGCCCUAAACCUGGAAAGAGUUGUUCAGGCUACAUAAGUACAAAUAUUCUUCCUCCCACCAUUAAGCUUGGGGAUGUUUUGAAGAUGUCAGUUGAUUGUCAACUUCAUUGAAUUUUCUUAGAACAAGAGACUUCUGAUCUGAUAAUAAUAAAGUAGACUGUUUACUGUUGUCUAUGAGUAUAAUGGGAGCUUGAUUUUCUUCCCAGUGUAAAUAUGCUAAGAGGAAAAACUUCUAACAGUAUGUAAAAUAAUUAAAUAGCUUGGCUCUAUUCUUAGUUACAUUUCCAUCCAAGUCUACAUUUUAGGACUUUCACUAUGGAUGUCUUCAUCUUUCUCACCUCUGUCUUUGGUGCUAAUUGGCAAACGAAAUUUUAAAUCACUUGCUGAGGUUGAGUAUUGUGCUUGAGUACAAAAGGAGACCUAUUGUGGAAACAAUUGAGUACUUCAUGCAUAGGGAAGCUGUAAUUUUUUAAAGUAAAACACUAGUGGAUUAUGAAAAGCAAGUCACCAAAUGGUUGUUUGACUGACAGGUAUAUGUUCUAUAAAGGGAGAAGAAAUCUCCUUAGAAAAUACAUUCACUAGUACACUGGGAAAUAGGUAGUUAUGUCAUAAUUAUAGUGAUUAGAAGGUUUUUGGGCAAGUGAAAUUAAUUGGUGAUACAUAAAGACUUUCUGUAUGGAAACAAAGAUCUGGAUUUGAAAGAAGCUCAUUUGGUUGAAUUGUGUAGUAGGGACCAUAAUAAUGUAAUUGAGGGGUGUUCAUGGGACACCCAUGGAGGGUGAAUUUGAAUGUUAUGUGGGUGGGGGUUGGAAGGGAGACGGGAAAAUCUGCCUAUAAAAUUAAUGUUUCAGUUUAUUUUUCAGAUUACAUGCCUUUCUUUAUAAGGGAUGCUGGCACAGACCCCUAAAUUAAGCUUUUGGGUAGUAAUAUACUUUGAGGAGUGGUGAAAGAAUGAUUUCCUCAGAUUGUGGCUCUUGAUAGCCUUUUUGUGGGCUGUAGAGUUGCUAAACAGUGUUUAGCAGAUACGGUUGUACAGUGUCAACCAAUAUUGACUUACAACCAAGGGUUGUAAGCUACUGAGACUUUCAAUAAGUCUUUAUGUGAUGGUUUAGCGUAUUAGUGAGUUUAAAUCAUUUUGAGCAGUUGUACCAAAAGGUAAAAGGAAAACUAGGGUGGGAGGGGAAGACAACAGGGUGUAUUUUAGACAUUUUCCCUUUGAAGAAACACUUGCCCCUAUUUCUUUCUUUACCUUCUCAAAAUUUUGUUUGCAGAGGACACUUGAAAAUUUUCUUUUAAAAGUUCUCUAAGACAGUAUAUUUAAUAGGCAUGCUAUAAGCUGAACCCAUUGACAAGUGAUGAAAGCGUAGUCUUUUUGUCCCUAGAAAGCUCCUAAGUACUUUAAGACCCCCACCACAUUUUAGUGUUGCACCACUAAUAAACAGAUAAUUUGGGAAAUUGUAAUGUUACACCUGUGCAAUUCUUACAAGUGGCAUAUCAUGGCAGAUUAAAAUUUAGGUACUUGGCUUGGGUAAGCCACAAAGUUGUGGCGGAAUGUUUUGUGGUGUUCUUGGACUGCAAUUGUGCACUAUUAAAGUAGAGGCCUGCUACAUAACUGCAUUUAGCCAGCAUUUCUGCAGUGCGUAACUGUGAGGAACGUAGUACCGCAAAUGGCAAUGGACAUUAGGAUCCGGAUGUAGUAUUCCUGCUUGCUCCAAGAUUCUCAUUGCCGACUGCAUACAGGUAAGAAUGAUUGAUGUUGGCUGAUUUUGGAGUCUUAUUUACUUGAAGUGGAAUAAAUUGUUCAAAAGAUACUACACAGCAUGGGCCAGCCAAGAGGGAAAGCCACAAAUCACUUAGGACAAAGAUGGAUCAAGUGAGCUGUAUCAGAACAUGAGUCAAGAUAAAAGAGGAAUGGAUAUUUAUUGGCAUUAAUAAAGAUAUUUUAAAAUCUU